GAAUGUUAUCACGGGAGACACACGGCGGGUGCUAACGUCCGUCGUGAAGAGGGAAACAACCCAGACCGCCAGCUAAGGUCCCAAAGUCAUGGUUAAGUGGGAAACGAUGUGGGAAGGCCCAGACAGCCAGGAUGUUGGCUUAGAAGCAGCCAUCAUUUAAAGAAAGCGUAAUAGCUCACUGGUCGAGUCGGCCUGCGCGGAAGAUGUAACGGGGCUAAACCAUGCACCGAAGCUGCGGCAGCGAACGUAUCACCCAAGACAACUUUACGGAGUUGACGAUUGACGGAGCGAAGCGACGUCAAAGCGUUCAUUAAAGUCGAGUUGGCUUAGGGAUACGUUCGUUGGGUAGGGGAGCGUUCUGUAAGCCUGUGAAGGUGUGUCGUGAGGCAUGCUGGAGGUAUCAGAAGUGCGAAUGCUGACAUAAGUAACGAUAAAGCGGGUGAAAAGCCCGCUCGCCGGAAGACCAAGGGUUCCUGUCCAACGUUAAUCGGGGCAGGGUGAGUCGACCCCUAAGGCGAGGCCGAAAGGCGUAGUCGAUGGGAAACGGGUUAAUAUUCCCGUACUUGGUGUUACUGCGAAGGGGGGACGGAGAAGGCUAUGUUGGCCGGGCGACGGUUGUCCCGGUUUAAGCGUGUAGGUGUGUGUUCCAGGUAAAUCCGGUUCACUUUAACACUGAGGCGUGAUGACGAGGCACUACGGUGCUGAAGCAACAAAUGCCCUGCUUCCAGGAAAAGCCUCUAAGCAUCAGGUAACAUCAAAUCGUACCCCAAACCGACACAGGUGGUCAGGUAGAGAAUACCAAGGCGCUUGAGAGAACUCGGGUGAAGGAACUAGGCAAAAUGGUGCCGUAACUUCGGGAGAAGGCACGCUGACACGUAGGUGAAGUGAUUUACUCACGGAGCUGAAGUCAGUCGAAGAUACCAGCUGGCUGCAACUGUUUAUUAAAAACACAGCACUGUGCAAACACGAAAGUGGACGUAUACGGUGUGACGCCUGCCCGGUGCCGGAAGGUUAAUUGAUGGGGUCAGCGCAAGCGAAGCUCCUGAUCGAAGCCCCGGUAAACGGCGGCCGUAACUAUAACGGUCCUAAGGUAGCGAAAUUCCUUGUCGGGUAAGUUCCGACCUGCACGAAUGGCGUAAUGA
rnacentral:rRNA from 1 species